AUAUAUCUAUUAAUUGUGUUGCGUGAAUGCUGCUGAGGGAGGAAUCCUAUUUGAUUGAUGCGCUGAAUUGUCCAAUCAUGUGGUGAUAUCAAAAAAGAAAGGCGAUACCAUUGGCCUGGGGCGCACACUGGUGCGACCAGAGGGCGAAUUUUCUUGCGCCAAUGAAAAGUUGUCUCCGCUUGAUAGACAGCAAAAAGUUAGCGAGCUUACAUUGAAUUCAACGUGGCCGGCGCCCCUGACUGGCAAUGACAAGUAUACCACAUAAUUAAACGAGGAUAAACGCUAUGUAUUUUUGUUGAUUUAUUUCGUAUUGAUAAAUGUUGGUUCAUAGUUGGCGCUGGCAGAUAUAUUCAAGUGAAUAUUUAACGGAGGUACGGCGCCCUAGCACCCUCUAUUGACCCACCGCCAUGUCCUAUCCAUGGGCCUUGGUGUUGCUCCCUAGAAUUCAUCACAUGAGUCUAAGAAGUGUUAUUAUUUUUCUGGGAUGUGUACAUGUUACUUAAUAGCCGAAUAGAACUAGUGCUAUUUGCCUUUGCUGAGUUGUCCUCGAAACAACAACAGAUGUUUCUUUAACUUUCUGCGCCACUCUGGAUUAGCAUGCGCACUGUUCCUGUUAAUCUUUGUUAUUUUUAUAUAGCCUACUGUAUAUAUAUAUAUUUAUUUUCAUAUUGUAACAAUAUUGUCCAUGCUACAUACCUGCAACUUUUCUGGACCCCUUCAAACCCGGGACGCAGGCUGGUGAUGUGGAAAUCCAGUUUAUUGUGGAAGUUGCCGUCAAUGAACAUUACAAGGCAGCUCCACUGCCGUGCAGGGGAUCUCUCCUUGAGUGUGUUUGGACUUGGCUGGUUUAAGCUGUGCUCACUGAUUACCUAAUAUACAACAGAGGUACUCACCCUGGUGAAAACAACGUUAAUGGUGUGAAUGGGGAAUGAACACGUGAACGAUUUGACCCAUUGCAUCAUUCGAAAUCACGAUAGACUUCAGCCGGUCUCAGAAUUGCUUGUCCGCAGUUAUUUCAAUUGUUUAAUAUUUAACUUGUGGUUUCUCAAUGACCUUGUCUAACCAAUGUUUAUUUUCUCUCUUAACACCUCUGUUUUUAUCCUCACGCCUCCACCAGUUUCCAUCUCUUGAGACCAGUGUCACUGUGCACACUAAUGACAAGGAGGCAAUGGCUUUGAGCAAUGUACGUCUGAUUAUGAGGAAGUAUUAAUGAGUGCAAGUUAUCAAGGCCUGAUGACACUGAUUGGCCAACAGACAGCUCCCAGAUUGGACAGGGGGUUGGACGAUGGUGGAGGAACAGCCAAUGGCGUGAGACCUACAGAGAACGAGAGGGGAGACACAGGAAAACAACCACAUACGUAACAAGCACACACACACACACACACACACACACACACACACACACACACACACACACACACACGCACACACACAC